rnacentral:rRNA from 1 species
GACGAACGCUGGCGGCGUGCUUAACACAUGCAAGUCGAACGAAGUGGCGAACGGGUGAGUAACGUGUAAUCAACCUGCCCUUCAGAGGGGGACAACAGUUGGAAACGACUGCUAAUACCGAAUACUGAAGGAGUGGAUUGCGUCUGAUUAGCUCGUUGGAGGGGGAACGGCCCACCAAGGCGAUGAUAAGUAGCCGGGCUGGGAGGAUGAACGGCCACAUCGGGAAUGGGACACGGCCCAGACUCCUACGGGAGGCAGCAGGGGGGAAUCUUCCGAAAUGGACGAAAGUCUGACGGAGCAACGCCGCGGGAGUGAUGACGGCCUUCGGGUUGUAAAGCUCUGUUAAGCGGGACGCGGUACCGGAAUAGAAAGCCACGGCUAACUACGUGCCAGCAGCCGCGGUAAUUC